rnacentral:rRNA from 1 species
UACGUAGGGGGCAAGCGUUGUCCGGAAUUACUGGGCGUAAAGCGCGUGUAGGCGGGACGGCAAGUCGGACGUGAAAGGCUCGGGCUCAAUCCGAGAUGGCCGUUCGAAACUGCCGUUCUUGAGGGUCGAAGAGGAGAGUGGAAUUCCUGGUGUAGCGGUGAAAUGCGUAGAGAUCAGGAGGAACACCCAUGGCGAAGGCAGCUCUCUGGUCGACAUCUGACGCUGAGACGCGAAAGCGUGGGGAGCAAACAGG